rnacentral:rRNA from 1 species
AUUGAACGCUAGCGGGAUGCUUUACACAUGCAAGUCGAACGGCAGCGCGGACUUCGGUCUGGCGGCGAGUGGCGAACGGGUGAGUAAUGUAUCGGAACGUGCCCAGUAGCGGGGGAUAACUACGCGAAAGCGUAGCUAAUACCGCAUACGCCCUACGGGGGAAAGCAGGGAUCGGUAGGACCUUCCACAUUUGGGGCGGCCGAUAUCGGAUUAGCUAGUUGGUGAGGUAACGGCUCACCAAGGCGACGAUCCGUAGCUGGUUUGAGAGGACGACCAGCCACACUGGGACUGAGACACGGCCCAGACUCCUACGGGAGGCAGCAGUGGGGAAUUUUGGACAAUGGGGGCAACCCUGAUCCAGCCAUCCCGCGUGUGCGAUGAAGGCCUUCGGGUUGUAAAGCACUUUUGGCAGGAAAGAAACGUCGCGGGCUAAUACCCCGUGGAACUGACGGUACCUGCAGAAUAAGCACCGGCUAACUACGUG